rnacentral:rRNA from 1 species
AUUGAACGCUGGCGGCAUGCUUUACACAUGCAAGUCGAACGGUAACAGGCCGCAAGGUGCUGACGAGUGGCGAACGGGUGAGUAAUGCAUCGGAACGUGCCCAGUCGUGGGGGAUAACUACUCGAAAGAGUAGCUAAUACCGCAUACGAUCUAUGGAUGAAAGCGGGGGACCGUAAGGCCUCGCGCGAUUGGAGCGGCCGAUGUCAGAUUAGGUAGUUGGUGGGGUAAAGGCUCACCAAGCCAACGAUCUGUAGCUGGUCUGAGAGGACGACCAGGCACACUGGGACUGAGACACGGCCCAGACUCCUAAGGGAGGCAGCAGUGGGGAAUUUUGGACAAUGGGCGCAAGCCUGAUCCAGCAAUGCCGCGUGCAGGAAGAAGGCCUUCGGGUUGUAAACUGCUUUUGUACGGAACGAAACGGCUCUGGUUAAUACCCGGGGCUAAUGACGGUACCGUAAGAAUAAGCACCGGCUAACUACGUG